UCCUACAAGAUAGUUCUUGCAUGUGCGCUAAUGUACUGAUGUGUAUAGAAUUUGCAUGCGACAUUCCUGAAGGUAAUAAAAUGUGUACACUUGACCUUCUGCAACAUAUGUUACAUUUUAAACUGAAUUACCGAGCUACCUGGAUUCAGUAAUUUAGUCGUUUCGUGAUGUUGCAGAUGUUGUGAUACUAUAAAGCAAAUAUAAUUUGAAAUAUUAGUUUGUGCUAGGGAAACUGUCAGUUAAAGUUGUAAUUUUAUCUAACCAGCUUCGGUGGUUGCUUAUUCGUUUCAGUAAUUGGAAUUGCUUUUGCUUUGAACAUGCGCUUGAGAAUUCUGAUAUGGUGUGGUGUUCUCAUAAGUGGGCUCAGCACUCUGAUGCUCCUGUUCCCGCAACAAUACAGGGGAUGAUGUGUUUGCUGUCACUUGUGAUAUAACAAAACUAGAUCAAGAGUGAUACCUACGAAGUGGAGAUGCAAGUCUCUUUUUCCACGAAGAUAACUCCUAUGGACUUGUAUUGUUUCCUUUUACUGAAGGGCCUUGAUACAAGAUAUACUUAAAGUAUUUUUCAGUUUUAUCAGUUGGUGAUACCUCAUUCAUUAUUACUAAACCACAUCAGUAGUUCCGUCUUGUAGAAAAUACCUUGAGCAUGUUUAGAACAUGAUGUGUCAAUGUGUCAUAUUCAUGCAAUUUGUCUGCUUGUUUUGCAGCUGAAAAAUCAUGUGGUACCAAUCGAUGGCUAUAAGGCCUGUCAGCAACCUAUUAGCGUAAGAAUAUCUGGCAGCGCAAGAGCAUUUCAGCUAUACUCCCAGAUUUGAAUGCAAUUGUGUUCUCACUAACUUAUUUAAUAUAAUUUUACCACA